rnacentral:rRNA from 1 species
GAUGAACGCUGGCGGCGUGCCUAAUACAUGCAAGUCGAGCGAACAGACGAGGAGCUUGCUCCUCUGACGUUAGCGGCGGACGGGUGAGUAACACGUGGAUAACCUACCUAUAAGACUGGGAUAACUUCGGGAAACCGGAGCUAAUACCGGAUAAUAUAUUGAACCGCAUGGUUCAAUAGUGAAAGACGGUUUUGCUGUCACUUAUAGAUGGAUCCGCGCCGCAUUAGUUAGUUGGUAAGGUAACGGCUUACCAAGGCAACGAUGCGUAGCCGACCUGAGAGGGUGAUCGGCCACACUGGAACUGAGACACGGUCCAGACUCCUACGGGAGGCAGCAGUAGGGAAUCUUCCGCAAUGGGCGAAAGCCUGACGGAGCAACGCCGCGUGAGUGAUGAAGGUCUUCGGAUCGUAAAACUCUGUUAUUAGGGAAGAACAAAUGUGUAAGUAACUAUGCACGUCUUGACGGUACCUAAUCAGAAAGCCCCGGCUAACUACGUG